CCUACGGGGGGCUGCAGUAGGGAAUAUUGGUAAUCUGGGAAACCGGGAACCAGCAACGCCGCGUGCACGAUGAAGGCCUUCGGGUCGUAAAGUGCUUUUUGAAGGGAUGAGGAAGGACAGUACCUUCAGAAUAAGCCUCGGCUAACUACGUGCCAGCAGCCGCGGUAAAACGUAGGAGGCGAGCGUUAUCCGGAUUUACUGGGCGUAAAGCGUGUGUAGGCGGUUUGAUAAGUUGGAUGUGAAAGCUCCCGGCUCAACUGGGAGAGGUCGUUCAAAACUAUCAGACUAGAGAGUGGUAGAGGGAGGUGGAAUUCCGCGUGUAGUGGUGAAAUGCGUAGAUAUGCGGAGGAACACCAGUGGCGAAAGCGGCCUCCUGGCCCAUUUCUGACGCUCAGACACGAAAGCUAGGGUAGCAAACGGGCUUAGAUACCCGAGUAGUC
rnacentral:rRNA from 1 species